UGUGCCAGCCGCCGCGGUAAUUCCAGCUCCAAUAGCGUAUAUUAAAGUUGUUGCAGUUAAAAAGCUCGUAGUUGAACCUUGGCUCUGGCUGGCCGGUCCGCCUCACCGCGAGUACUGGUCCGGCUGGAGCUUUCCUUCUGGGGAACCUCAUGGCCUUCACUGGCUGUGGGGGGAACCAGGACUUUUACUGUGAAAAAAUUAGAGUGUUCAAAGCAGGCCUUUGCUCGAAUACAUUAGCAUGGAAUAAUAGAAUAGGACGUGCGGUUUUAUUUUGUUGGUUUCUAGGACCGCCGUAAUGAUUAAUAGGGAUAGUCGGGGGCGUCAGUAUUCAGCUGUCAGAGGUGAAAUUCUUGGAUUUGCUGAAGACUAACUACUGCGAAAGCAUUCGCCAAGGAUGUUUUCAUUAAUCAGGGAACGAGAGUUAGGGGAUCGAAGACGAUCAGAUACCGUCGUAGUCUUAACCAUAAACUAUGCCGACUAGGGAUCGGACGGGAUUCUAUUAUGACCCGUUCGGCACCUUACGAGAAAUCAAAGUUUUUGGGUUCUGGGGGGAGUAUGGUCGCAAGGCUGAAACUUAAAGAAAUUGACGGAAGGGCACCACAAGGCGUGGAGCCUGCGGCUUAAUUUGACUCAACACGGGGAAACUCACCAGUCCAGACAAAAUAAAGAUUGACAGAUUGAGAGCUCUUUCUUGAUCUUUUGGAUGGUGGUGCAUGGCCGUUCUAGUUGGUGGAGUGAUUUGUCUGCUACUGCGAUACGACGAGACUCGCCCUAAUAGCCCGAUCGCAUUUGCGGCGCUGCUCUAGGGGACUAUCGGCUCAAGCGAUGAGUGCGCGGCAAUAACAAGGU
rnacentral:rRNA from 1 species